GCUACGGGUGGCAGCAGUGAGGAAUAUUGGUCAAUGGACGAGAGUCUGAACCAGCCAAGUAGCGUGAAGGAUGACUGCCCUAUGGGUUGUAAACUUCUUUUAUAAAGGAAUAAAACGAGGCACGUGUGCCUUUUUGCAUGUACUUUAUGAAUAAGGAUCGGCUAACUCCGUGCCCGCAGCCGCGUUAAUACGGAGGAUGCGAGCGUUAUCCGGUUUUAUUGGGUUUAAAGGGGGCGUGGGCGGACUGUUACGUCAGCGGUAAAAGCCCGGGGCUCAACCCCGGCGAGCCGUUGAAACUGGCUGUCUUGAGAGGUCGAGAGGUAUGCGGAAGGCGCAGUGUAGCGGUGAAAUGCUUAGAUAUUGCGCAGAACUCCGAUUGCGAAGGCAGCAUACCGGCGGCGAUCUGACGCUGAGGCACGAAAGCGUGGGUAUCGAACAGGAUUAGAUACCCUUGUAGUC
rnacentral:rRNA from 1 species